UUAAAUUAAAAUAUUAUAAAUUUUUGUUUUCCCGAAAUAGGUAGAGCUAAUCAAGUUUUAUUUUUAGACAAUAAAAUAUAUAGUGUGUCAUAACUAUAAUUAAAAAAUUAAUUAGGGGUGAAAGGCCUACCAAUACCUAUAGAUAUCUGGAUGAGCUUUAAAUAUAUUUAGUAUUUUUAGGUUAGUUAUAGAAUUUUAAGGUUUUAUAAGCUUAACAUUUUGUAUAAAUCAAAUAAUAGUUAAAAAAAUAAUAUUUAUUAACAUAUUUAUUUCUAUAAUUAUUUUACUUUAAUAUUUAGCACUAUAAGGCUAAAUCGACUCUAAAUUUUAAGAUCUAUUUAGACUGUUUAAAUUAGUAAUUACUUUAAAACUAAAAAAGUAACUCGGCAAAUUUAAAAUCUCAACUGUUUAUCAAAAACAUAGCUAGUAAUUUAUUAUUAGUGUAUUCUGCUCAGUGAUCUUAUUUAACAGCCGCAGUACACUGACUGUGCAAAGGUAGCAUAAUAAAUUGACUUAUAAUUGAAGUCUAGGAUGAACGAAAGUCUGGGGUAAAGCUGUCUCUUUUUAGUUUUUUUAAAUUUACUUAAAAAGUGAAAAGACUUUUAAAUCAAAAUAGACGAGAAGACCCUAUGAAUUUUAAUAAAAGGGCUUUAACUCUAUAUUUUUGUUGGGGCAACAGAGUAACAGAAAAAUGUAAAACGCAACUUAAUUUACUUAAAUAUAUAGACCGAAUAAUAUUAAAUAUAAAAAAAAUUACUAUAGGGAUAACAGCAUAAUUUUACAAAAAAGAUUGUGACCUCGAUGUUGGACUAGGUAACAGUUAAAACAGUAUUUUAACUGAAUGGUUCUGUUCGAACUCCACCU
rnacentral:rRNA from 1 species